CGUGUAGGCGGUUUGUUUAAGUCUGAUGUGAAAGCCCCGGGCUCAACCUGGGAAGUGCAUUGGAUACUGGCAGACUUGAAUACGGGAGAGGGUAGUGGAAUUCCUGGUGUAGGAGUGAAAUCCGUAGAUAUCAGGAGGAACACCGGUGGCGAAGGCGGCUACCUGGACCGAUAUUGACGCUGAGACGCGAAAGCGUGGGGAGCAAACAGGAUUAGAUACCCUGGUAGUCCACGCCGUAAACGAUGAGUACUAGGUGUUGCGGGUAUUGACCCCUGCAGUGCCGCAGCUAACGCAUUUAAGUACUCCGCCUGGGAAGUACGGUCGCAAGACUAAAA
rnacentral:rRNA from 1 species